GACGAACGCUGGCGGCGUGCCUAAUACAUGCAAGUCGAACGCAGUGGGGACGGGUGAGUAACACGUGGGUAACCUCCCAUCAGAGGGGAUAACACUUGGAAACAGGUGCUAAACCGAUACUGAUGGAUGAACCCGCGGUGCAUUAGCUAGUUGGUGAGGUAACGGCUCACCAAGGCCACGAUGCAUAACCGACCUGAGAGGGUGAGCAGCCACACUGAGACUGAGACACGGCCCAAACUCCUGCGGGAGGCAGCAGUAGGGAAUCUUCGGAAAUGGACGAAAGUCUGGCCGAGCAGCGCCGAGUGAGUGAAGAAGGUUUUCGGAUCGAAAAACUCUGUUGUUAGAGAAGCGGUAUCUAACCAGAAAGCCACGGCUAACUACGUGCCAACGGCCGCGGUAAUUC
rnacentral:rRNA from 1 species